rnacentral:rRNA from 1 species
GACGAACGCUGGCGGCGUGCUUAACACAUGCAAGUCGAACGGAAAGGCCCUGCUUGCAGGGUGCUCGAGUGGCGAACGGGUGAGUAACACGUGGGUGAUCUGCCCCUUAUUUUGGGAUAAGCCUGGGAAACUGGGUCUAAUACUGGAUAGGACCAUGCUGUAGGUGGUGUGGUGGAAAGAUUAGUUUCGGUAAGGGAUGAGCUCGCGGCCUAUCAGCUUGUUGGUGGGGUAAUGGCCUACCAAGGCGUCGACGGGUAGCCGGCCUGAGAGGGUGGACGGCCACAUUGGGACUGAGAUACGGCCCAGACUCCUACGGGAGGCAGCAGUGGGGAAUAUUGCACAAUGGGCGCAAGCCUGAUACAGCGACGCCGCGUGGGGGAUGACGGCCUUCGGGUUGUAAACUCCUUUCAGCCAUGACGAAGCCCUUGUGGUGACGGUAGUGGUAGAAGAAGCACCGGCUAACUACGUG